CCCAGACUCCUACGGGAGGCAGCAGUGGGGGAUAUUGCACAAUGGGGGGAACCCUGAUGCAGCGACGCCGCGUGGGUGAAGGAGUAUUUCGGUAUGUAAAGCCCUAUCGGCAGGGAAGAAGCAAGACGGUACCUGACUAAGAAGCCCCGGCUAACUACGUGCCAGCAGCCGCGGUAAUACGUAGGGGGCGAGCGUUAUCCGGAUUCACUGGGUGUAAAGGGAGCGUAGACGGCCAUGCAAGCCAGGGGUGAGAGCCCGGGGGGCAACCCCGGGACUGCCCUUGGAACUGCAUGGAUGGAGUGCGGGGGGGGCAGGCGGAAUUCCUGGUGUAGCGGUGAAAUGCGUAGAUAUCAGGAGGAGCACCGGCGGCGAAGGCGGCCUGCUGGACCGCGACUGACGUUGAGGCCCGAAAGCGUGGGGAGCAAACAGGAUUAGAUACCCGAGUACA
rnacentral:rRNA from 1 species